UUCAGAUCGGAGAGCUUGCUGGAUUAGCAAUAGGAGCAACGAUUCUACUUAAUGUUCUAAUUGCUGCACCGAUAUCGAGUGCAUCGAUGAAUCCAGCAAGAAGUUUUGGACCUGCAAUGGUGCACGGUUGCUACAAAGGAAUUUGGAUCUACAUAGUCUCACCAAUACUUGGUGCGGUUUCUGGUGCGUGGGUUUAUAACACGGUUAGAUACACCGAUAAACCAUUGAGAGAAAUAACCAAAAGCGGUUCGUUUUUAAAGACCGUGCGAAGCGGUACCUCUUAGUUAAGGAGAACAGAAAAAAGAUGGCUACGUUAAAGAAGUGAUGGGAAUAUUUUGGUAUUUACAAGUGUUUUCAAAAUGAAUUGUAACAACUUUGACCAUACCAUACGUAUAUGAUUCGAUAUAUAUGAUGUAUUAAUUGCUACGUUUUCUCUCUUUUACUUAAUGCGAAAGAUCUAUCUUCAUAUU